GACGAACGCUGGCGGCGUGCUUAACACAUGCAAGUCGAACGGAAAGGCCCUGCUUUUGUGGGGUGCUCGAGUGGCGAACGGGUGAGUAACACGUGAGUAACCUGCCCUUGACUUUGGGAUAACUUCAGGAAACUGGGGCUAAUACCGGAUAGGAGCUCCUGCUGCAUGGUGGGGGUUGGAAAGUUUCGGCGGUUGGGGAUGGACUCGCGGCUUAUCAGCUUGUUGGUGGGGUAGUGGCUUACCAAGGCUUUGACGGGUAGCCGGCCUGAGAGGGUGACCGGCCACAUUGGGACUGAGAUACGGCCCAGACUCCUACGGGAGGCAGCAGUGGGGAAUAUUGCACAAUGGGCGGAAGCCUGAUGCAGCAACGCCGCGUGCGGGAUGACGGUCUUCGGGUUGUAAACCGCUUUCGCCUGUAACGAAGCGUGAGUGACGGUAAUGGGUAAAGAAGCACCGGCUAACUACGUG
rnacentral:rRNA from 1 species